CCGUGUAAUAUCCUCUAUAUAUAUCCUACCUUCGAAGACGAUGUUGUUCCGUUGCUCGCAUUAGAAGCAUUAAAAGACACGGUUGUCAUGAUACUUGGUGAAGAUGUACUUUGACCUGCUAAUGCCGGCAUGCACAGUAAAACUGCUAUCAACAAUUGACAUAUCUCGUGUCUUCGGCCAAAAAGCAUCAUUGCAAGUUCACUUUAGCUCGAAGUAUAAACCAAUGUUCCUUUUUGCAGUGUGUGGUUGAAUUACAAAAAUGCCAUGUUUAUAUAUAGAUACAGACUGUGACGUGUUUUGAAAUAACAUGUAGGCUAAGUAUUGAUAGUAUCAGUUAAAUAUUCUCCGCAAAAACCCGUUCCAAUAUAUUAUAAUGCCAUGGUGCAUGUGCCUAUUGUCGUGAUUUAAUCGAUAGAAAAAUUUAAGUAUAUUUGUUUUUUGAACGGUCCGUGUAGGUUUGUAGUGCCAAUAUUCAAUAAUAAGAAACGAAGGGCCUCUCCUUGUAUUUUUCAGAGAGUUGUAUCCCUAUCAAUUCUGUUUUCUGCCAUUCAUCUCGGUUCCCAAACUCACUAGAGUAUAGUAAUAAAAGUCAUACGGUAAUACUUACAGACUGGGAUUCCUUUUCGGUUCCAUUUGUCAUGCCGUUCGUGGUGGCAUUCGUCUGGGAACCUGAACAAUUCCUGCUUGUGAAGUUCCCCAAAACUGCAGUCGUCAUUGUGGAACUACAAUUUCUGUGUGAGUUUUUCACUCCUUUAUACUCCAGAGGUUGGCUUGAAAUAGACAGACAUGUCAAGAUCACUAGCAUGGAUCGGUAAAAAGAACAACCCAGCUUUGCCUUGAAAAACAUUAUUGUACCAAGACUCUGCGGUGCGUGUGUUAGGAAGGCUGUUUAUCGUCUGCCAGUUUUCUGUAAACCGUUUGAAAUAUGAACUACGUACCCGACUAUUCAUUAGUAUUUGUGCCGGGUAUUUAUACUUAAACAGCUCUGCAGCUGAAUUAUUAAUGCACAAAGGCUAAAAGCGAAAGGGUUUGUACGUGCGUGUGUUGACUGAAAGCUACACCUCUGAGGAUCAUGCUUCCGUCAUGCAAUAUUAUUGCGUUGACCGUUGACCGUUGACGUUUCAAUUCAUGUUGGAAAGCGUGGAAAGUAUACAGGCAUGGGCGUGAAAUACAAGUACUUCCCGCUUCUGUGGUCUGUUGACAUUUUCUGGAAUUUGUUCUGUAUUCAAUGCUCUAACCGUUAUAUACAAAUAUACCGUGA
rnacentral:lncRNA from 1 species